rnacentral:rRNA from 1 species
AGCAGCCGCGGUAAUUCCAGCUCCAAUAGCGUAUAUUAAAGUUGCUGCAGUUAAAAAGCUCGUAGUUGAAUUUCGGGACCAAUAUGUCGGUCGUGCCUCGGUACGUACUGGCAUCGUUGGUUUCUCCCUUCUGACGAACCAUGAUGUCAUUUAUUUGGUGUCGUGGGGAAUCAGGACUGUUACUUUGAAAAAUUAGAGUGUUUAAAGCAGGCUCACGCUUGAAUACAUUAGCAUGGAAUAAUGAAAUAGGACGUUUGAUUCUAUUUUGUUGGUUUCUAGGAUCGACGUAAUGAUUAAUAGGGAUAGUUGGGGGCAUUAGUAUUCAAUUGUCAGAGGUGAAAUUCUUGGAUUUAUUGAAGAUUAACUACUGCGAAAGCAUUUGCCAAGGAUGUUUUCAUUAAUCAAGAACGAAAGUUAGGGGAUCGAAGACGAUCAGAUACCGUCGUAGUCUUAACCAUAAACUAUGCCGACUAGGGAUCGGAUGAUGUUAAUUUUUAAUGACUCAUUCGGCGCCUUAACC